AAGUAGGGGCGAAAGUUGCUUGUCCUCUCGGGUGCUCGCCAGGGGCUUGGAAGAUGAAACACGCUCCCUGUUCGCUUUUCGGGGGUCUGGUAUUUGGGGUUUAAGCUCCGGUCUCCGACCGCCUUUAGGAGACGGAGAUGGAAAGGAACGCCUCAGAGACUGGGCGCGGUGACCCUUUUGAGCUUUCAGGAGCUCUUGGCACGUGGUCACUUUGUAAGGGGGUGAACAGGGCCAGUGUGGGCGUGGGAAUGAGAGGCGAGAGCAGAGAACCCGAGGCUCAGGGAUUCCGUCAGGCAGCCGCCUUUCCAGCCAAGCCAGGGAGAAAGCAGAGGGAGAUGACAGCGAGCCUCCCCCAAGAAACAUCCUCUUCAGGAACCUCUCUCGAAGCAUUUCUCCCUGUCUGUCCCCCUCUCUCCUCCUCUUUCUCUCUCUGUCUCUGCCUCUCUCGCUCUCCCCCUCUCCUCUCUCUUCCCCUCCCCCCUUUCUCUUCCAUCCCUCCGUCCAAUCAAUUUUGCAAUCAAUACCGCCAUUGAAUUUCUUUACUGAGAAACACGGAUUCUGAUUUCCCCUCUGGACUUAAGGUUUUUGUUUUUUUUUUCUUGUCAUUAGCGCUAACCUCUCUGGAAAUUUAGAGCUACAUUCAGUAGACUGUGGGUCUCUGCUGAAGACGGUAUUUUAAGAAUCCUGCCAUCUGGGAAUAGCAGUUUGUGAAGUAGCUACUUCCUCAGUACAGUUUGUGCUUUUUCAAAGCAGUUGAAAGUUAAUAACUGGGCAACAUAGGAUACUUGCCAUGUCUGGUGAAGGAUGGGAAAAAUACGGAUCCCGUGAUGCAAUUGCUACUACGAGGGCAUUAAUGCGUCAUGAGGAGGACAUGUCCACUUGGAGUGUCAAAGGGACAUUCACUAUGUCGACUGAAAUGAAAACGCACGAUGGAGGAGCUGUGCAUUUCAGGUUCAUUUGGGGACUACUGAGGACUAUAUAGCCCAGUAGACAGCCUCUCAGAGAGCUCUGAGGGACUGCUCUGAAGAGUAUUAUUUGUUGUAUGUCCUUUUCUACGCUGGACGUUCUUGAGGACGACGCUUCACAUUUGAAGAACACGUCACACGUGAAAACACGUUUUCGUGUACCUUCAUCUAAACUUCCAUGGCAGCCUGCAAGGCAGGCAAGAUGGGAUUAUCUCCAUGGACAGUGUAGAGAUGAGGCAGCAGAAAUUAAGAGUUUCUGUCCUUCUGCAAGUCACUCAAGGAGGAAGAAGAAGAGCCAGGACUCAAGCUAGGACUCUUUCUAUACCUCAUAAAUUCCUCACUUUUAAAUUCUAGUCCUAGUGGUUCUGGGCUUCCCUGGUGGUGCAGUGGUUAAGAAUCUGCCUGCCAACUCAGGGGACAUGGGUUCGAGCCCUGGUCCGGGAAGAUCCCACAUGCCAUGGAGCAACAAAGCCCGUGAGCCACAACUACUGAGCCUGCACUCUAGAGCCCGCAAGCCACAACUAGAGAAAACUUGCACGCAGCAACGAAGACCCAAC